UCCGUAGGGCGCAAGCGUUGUCCGGAAUUAUUGGGCGUAAAGAGCUCGUAGGCGGCUUGUCACGUCGGAUGUGAAAGCCCGGGGCUUAACCCCGGGUCUGCAUUCGAUACGGGCAGGCUAGAGUUCGGUAGGGGAGAUCGGAAUUCCUGGUGUAGCGGUGAAAUGCGCAGAUAUCAGGAGGAACACCGGUGGCGAAGGCGGAUCUCUGGGCCGAUACUGACGCUGAGGAGCGAAAGCGUGGGGAGCGAACAGG
rnacentral:rRNA from 1 species